rnacentral:rRNA from 1 species
GGGCCCGCACAAGCGGUGGAGCAUGUGGUUUAAUUCGAUGCAACGCGAAGAACCUUACCUACUCUUGACAUCCAGAGAAGCCAGCGGAGACGCAGGUGUGCCUUCGGGAGCUCUGAGACAGGUGCUGCAUGGCUGUCGUCAGCUCGUGUUGUGAAAUGUUGGGUUAAGUCCCGCAACGAGCGCAACCCUUAUCCUUGUUUGCCAGCGAGUAAUGUCGGGAACUCCAGGGAGACUGCCGGUGAUAAACCGGAGGAAGGUGGGGACGACGUCAAGUCAUCAUGGCCCUUACGAGUAGGGCUACACACGUGCUACAAUGGCGCAUACAGAGGGCGGCGAACUUGCGAGAGUAAGCGAAUCCCAAAAAGUGCGUCGUAGUCCGGAUUGGAGUCUGCAACUCGACUCCAUGAAGUCGGAAUCGCUAGUAAUCGU